rnacentral:lncRNA from 1 species
UGUUCUUUCCAUAGUGGUGUGACAAGUACUUUUCAAUUCAAUUUGUUCAGUGUUAGCUUAGGAAAGCCACAAGAUCCCUUCUAGCUCUAAAACUUUCUUCUUUCUGUUUUUGUAAUAUAAUGUUCUAAUCCAAAGAUAACCUCUAGAAAAUUGAGUCUCAACUCGAAAAUGAAGAUAAUAAGGCUAAAGAUAGUCCCGACAAUGUAAAUCUUUCCUAAAGAGCUCUACAAGGAAGGUUUAUGAAAAUCUUGAGAAUAAAAAUGCAGAAUAAUCAUAUCUUUAUAGAUGGUAUCAAGAUGAAGAAAUUGUAUGAAGAGAAGCAAGAAACCAAAUACUGGGGGAUAUAUUGCACAAGUGUGACUUCAAGAAACCCAAGCCAGUGCAAACAACUCAAAAAAUAACGGAACCAAAGACAGCGAACCUUUCAGGAAAGCUAUGGACAUUUAUCCCCUCUGCUAUCAUUUAUGUUUCUGUAGUCAAGGUUCAGUUAUAUCGCAGUUGAGACAACUCCCUAGAAACAAUGAUCCCUGCUAAAGCUGCUCUAGGAGCACAGGAAUUCCUUUGAUGAGCUCUAAGAGAUUGGUAACAAUACCUCCUGAAGGGCCAUGUUGCUAGGUAACAGCUUGUUUCCUUGGUCACGGUGAAUCCAUGGAAGACCCCCAGAAGAUGCUGCAGAUUCUUGGUGGACAGCUCUGGUAUCCCAUCCAAGGAACAUGAUGAAAAAUGUCUUCAGAAAAAUAGCUUUAUGAAGGGAGUUUUUGCACCCACAAGACAUGUCUGGAAGAUCCUCAGGUCAAAAUACAAGUAGUCGAGAGAUUUGUCCAUCUAAUUCAUCAUACUACUCUGAUCCAAGUGAGACCCACAUUGGAUCAGCUCCAUCAAGGAGAGGAAUAUUUCACCCACGUUUGGAUUCUGGAAUAUCAUCCCUGCUUCCUUCAGAUUCUCGUAAGCACCUCACUUGGCACAAGGUAGAACAACAUGACAUUCAAGGAGGUCAACUGCGUUGCCCAAGAGUAAGAGAAGCUGCAGAAUUUUAAACAUGAGCAAAAACCAUCUCACAUCUUUCAAACAAUUGCCAAAGAUACCUCAGAUACAGCAUUUAUCCUUGGCCGAAAACCACAUUGAGACUCUACCUGGACUCUCCAGUUUACGGUGCACUCCACUGGAAUCCCUUAUUCUCAGGAGGAACCCCUGUGAGUUCCACCAAAAUUACAAGAAGCGGUAAGGUCCCAAACACCGUCAGUCACCUUUUGCACUUCAUUGAAUAUUAUACUUUUAACUAUAUUUUAAAAUAUUGUUCCUCUGUUGCUCAAAUUUACCCAGCAAAUAGUUAUAGAAUCUACUCCACAUUGAACACUUCAUGCUUCUGAUCUCAUCUAAAGACUUUUGAACUGACUUUUCUUUAUCUUUUUAAAAUUUUAUCUUAAUACACUCUUUUUUCUUGGUUAAUUUAUAGUUGCUGUAAGAUUUUUAGGCUCCUUCUGUAAUGACUUUACCUAUACAAAUAUGCUUAAUUUUAGACUUUCAAAUUUCACACACUUUCUCCCACGUGCUUAAUAGAUAUUAUGUCUUUUAAAGAAUUAUACAUAUGUAUGUAUAUUUUAUUAAGUUCUGUGUGACAAUUUUAUAAAUUGUUAAUUCUCUGGUUUUACUUUCACUCUUUGGCCCCCAAGGGCAACAUUAAGUGAAUACAAAGAAUUCAGUUUACUCAGUGGUUGAAAGAGCUCAAAACUCUGCCAAGAAGAAACCAUUUUUAUUACUUUGUCACGACUGGGAACAUUCCUAAUGAUAAUAAUGGAAUCUAAAUCUUGAAGUGUGCACCCAGUAAUAUGCCCACCUAUUUAUCUCCAGCUAAUUCCCAGCACCACUAAUUAGUGUACUUAGGGGAAUUAAAAGGACAAAAAGAAGCAACUGAAUUCUACAACUUGUAUUUGCACCCCUACGACUGCAGGGCAUCUCCCCUCCCAGUUGAAUCUGUCAAACAGUUAGAUUAUCUCCAGGGUCGAUUUCUAUUCUAUGAUUACAAUCGUUUGUUUACUUCCAUUUCAGUAAAAGACAGUUUUCACCAUCUUAUUUUCUCACACUGCUCUUUUCCCAUGAACAGCAACUAUAUUCCAGAAGCCUAUAUGAUGUUAGACUUCACUGCCUGAUGUACAAUGAACACUUGUCGAAAUAGAAAUUCUAAUCUCUGUUGUUACAUAAAUCUCAUUACUACAAUUGUCUCCCCUAUGACUGUAGUCUGGAAGCAAAAUUUCAUGUCUGUGAUAAUAAAUUCUUAAAUUGCUUUCAUAUAACAGUGAAAAGUAGCACAGUUGCUAUAAUAUUGAGCUAAUAUUUAACCAUAAUAAUAUUUGGAGGUUUAAAAUUAUAUUUUCUAUAAUCAGAGGAGGUUAAGCUGGACAUUUCAACAGUCAUUCAUAAGAAAGCACAUUCCUAGUCAUAAAAAUAAUUUAAUAGUAUUGUAUUUCAGUUUUGUUAAUUCAUAUGUGGGGUUUUAUAAAGUAUUUUGUUCCCAGUUCAGCCACUUGCCUCUCUUCAAAGAAUGCCUUACAAUAACAGUAUUAAAAUGAAUUGUCUGGAAUCUGAUAUGCCCUGAGGUCUUACUAUAAUUCUGUCUACAAAAUUCAUGGUGUGGUGUAGAGUUAUGAAGGAAUGAGGAAUGUAACGAGGUUCUUCUGUUUUUCCAGUAUUAACUCUAUUGGAUUAAGUCCAAGGUGUAUAUAGGCUGACUUUCAAGUUACAAAAAGCCAGGUUAUAUUGACUUAGGUAGGGCAGGGUUGUGUUGGAAAGAUGGGGUCAUUUUAAAGUAUGAGGAAAAGGUUUAAGCAUCCACUCAUGCUAAGGAACUGAGCUGAAGUCGGAAGUUCAUUCAAGUAUGAGUUCAGUUACCAAGCCGAAAAUCCAUACCUUGAAGACGGUAACAGCAUUCAUUUUGUCACUGGGUAUCUGUGUUGAGGAUUUGGGCCAGAGCUUCAGGUGACUCUUUUUACACACUAUGCUCAGAAUUAUUUGAAGUAUAAGCUUUUCUUGAUCAUUAUCACCUAGAAUUGUGACUGCUUUCCCCUCCUCCUUUGAUUCAGAUCCUCCAACAAGAAGAUAGCACAAUUCAAAAGAGAAAGGACUUAAUGAUAGAGCUAAUAGUGUACGUCCCAGUAGGUUAGAAGGUGGCCCCAUUCCUGGGACACCUACAGGCAAACUUCUCUAACAUUCUCCAGGAGUCAAACAUGAUAUUAGUUCAUUAUAGCUUGACUUAAAAAAAAAAUCAAUGGCUAGAAAUUCUUGCCAGCUUAGUCUGAAUUUUGAAGGCUGAAGACGUAGAUUUUAAUAUUUGCUUUGUCAUCUAGAGGCUUUACGAUUUUGAAUAAGUUACUUAAAAUGAGGGAUAAAAACCAAUCUGACAGAGUUGUUGUGAGGAUUAAAAGAGAUGCAUAAGAAGUGAUUAAUGUUAAGAAAAUCACGCAGCCAAUGGGAGCUUUCAAGGAGGUCAGCGCCUUCAUUAGUUGACUUAGCAUAUCUGCUAGGAGGUUUCAAUAUCUUUCAUGCAGGCAAAUUCGAAUGCCAUGGAUUUCCCCCAGCCUGAGCUCUCAGAAUUCCCAGAUCUAGAAAAGCUGUUCAUUCUAAAGAAAAUGCUGCUUUUUAACACUGCUAUGUAUAUGACCACUGUUAACUGGAUUGACCUGAAGGAUCUCUUUCUGAACAUAGAAGUGACUCCCUAAAUUUGAAAUAUAAGCUUCAAAAGUUCUCUCUUUCAGGAGAAAAUAACAGCCCAAUAUUAUUUCCCACUCCCUCUUAUAUAUUUACCAGCCAGAAUUCUUCUUUACCUAUCACUGAAUAUCAUGGGCUUGCUUUACUUUCUCUCUAAACUUUUAACUUUAUUAUGAGCACAUAUAUCAUGAUCUUAUUUUUUCUUUUAUGGUUAGUUGGCUAAAUCCACUCGUUGAUUUUUUUUUUUCCUUAUAAGAUUGUAAAAACUGGAAUGCAAUUCUCUUAUAAAAACAGACUGUAGGCAGUUCCACUUCUCUGGUCAAUAUUUACUACUUGCUGAAAGAUACAUUAGAUCCCUGAAAGGGCAAGCUAUGACAGGAUCAUCAGUUCAAUUAACUGAAUACUACUUCAUUUUACCUCCACUGCAAAGAUAAGCAACACAGAAUGAAGUGAUAGCCAUUCAUCUUCCUUAUAACAAUAGGCAAAAUCCAUUUACUUAUAAAGAGAAUAAGUGAAAUAAAAUGCUUUUGUUCAAUAUAGUGUUUUUUUUUUUUAACUUUUGCUUUAGAGUAUUCUCCUGUUUGCCAAAUUUAAAAAUGCUGGAUGGAAUCUUGAAUCUACCAGAAGAUUGCUCAUCACCAGAAACCAAUAUUUUUUCAAAAAUAUGUGUUGUAUCCUAAUGUAGUCUGUAUAGAAAGAAAGCAAUCAUCACUGUCGCUAAAAGCUAAUAAAUAGGGGAAACGCAUGAUUAAAUAUUGCAAUUUAGUUUAUAUGUAUGUCUUUUUGCUUUCCUAAAUCAAGGCAGGAAAGUAUUUUCUAUAAAGGACCAGGUGGUAAAUACUUCAGGCUUUCUGGCCCGUGUGGCCUGUGUCGCAGCUACUCAACCCUGCCAUGCAGUGCAAAAGCAGCCACUGAUGAUAUGUAACUGUAUGGAUGUGUCUGUGUCUCAAUAAAACUUUAUUUACAAAAUGA